rnacentral:lncRNA from 1 species
CAGCAGGCCCAAGAGGAGGAGGAGGCAGGAGCAGAUUUGCUCUGCUAAGUCAAGAACCCUUCCCCGGGUGGCAUCAGAUUUCAUCUGGCCAAGCUGACAGAGAAGUGAUUAGCAGUCUAAAGGAUACCAACUCCACCUUGGAAAGGGGCCGCUGUGUGGCUGACUUCAGGAAUGUGAAUGGGGCUGCCAAGUGUGUGACUUGAAACCAUACUGGUGCACCAAGGAUCUUCAAGGUAUGCGACAGCGUUGAGGAUGAAAGAGAAGAUGGCCCAGGAGCUGGUGGUGCACACGUUUAUUCCCAGCACUCAGAAGGCAGAAAGUGCUCUCAGAUGCACCAGCCACGAGGCCUCCGUGAGGCACCCUCUCUUACAGCCCUGCAUCUUUCGUCCCUCUGGUCACAGUCUGAGUAACAGAUUCUCCGGAACUGUUUCAAGCUGGCCCAUGCUCUCGGCGGCAAGGUUCGAUGAGGCGCGGGAUUAACUGCUAUGCGGCAGAGGCUUCAGUCCCAG